GGGUUCUACCGUUGGUCGGGCUAUUGUCUGUACUGACGUUAGAAUUUCUACCUUCUGGGGAACCAUCAUGUUAUUAAUUUAGCGUGGUAGGAAACCAGAACCUUUACCUUGAAAAAAUUAGAGUGUUCAAAGCAGGCUUACGUCUGAAUACAUUAGCAUGGAAUAAUAAAAUAGGACGGU
rnacentral:rRNA from 1 species